ensembl:lncRNA
GCCGAGUCCGCGGGUCCGCCCGCCAGCCCGGCCGGAGGCAGCCGAGGCAGCUCGGGCAGCGGCGGUGGCGGUGGCGGGAGCCAGAGCGCAGCGCGCCGAGGAGACGGAACGGCGACAGAGCCCGACACCUCCUUGUGCUGUUGCCUGUUAGAUCCAGGGGACUGGGAGGACCCUUGGCAUGACCCUGAAGAGCAUAAAGGGGUUUUAAGAGCCACGCAUCAAUGUCCAAGAUCUUGGCUGAUGUGAGUAGGAAGAACCAGGGUUUGGAUUCAGACAAAACAGGCUUUGAAUCACAGCCCCAUCCUCUCCCAGCUGUGUGCCCUUGGUCAAGUCUUUUCUGCCUCUAACUUCAGCAUCCUCAUCUGUGAAAUGGGAUGAUAAUGCCCCCCUCCUGAGACUGUUGUGGAGUCCAGAUGCAAAAACAAGCCUGAGAAUGCUGGGCCCAGGGCUGAGCACACAGUGGGAGAGUGAUGGAGCUGAGUCCAGUGGGAGAUGGGAGGCGAGAAUAUGAGACCCCAGGCGUGGGUUGCCUUUUGGAGAAAUGACUUGAGAAUACCAAGGCUUUCUUGAGAGCUGGGUAAAGCCUAGCAGAACUGCAAGCGGUAGAGCCUCUAGGAAUAGUAUCCUGGCAGAUCGUAAACCCAGGCCUCAGCCAGUUCUACUAGUAUAACUACAUCCUCUCCCCUUUGUGGCUUCCCAGGUGAUGCUAGUGGUAAAGAACCCACUUGCUAAUGCAGGAGAUGUAAGAGACAUGGAUUCAAUUACUGGGUCAGGAAGAUCCUCUGGAAAAGGGCAUGGCAACCCACUCCAGCAUUCUUGCCUGGAGAAUUCCUCUGAUAGAGGAGCCUGGCAGUCUACAGUCCAUAGGAUUGCAAAGAGUCAAACACGACUGAAGCGACUUAGCAUGCAUGCAUCUCUCCCAUUUGAAAGAUUGGGAAACUGAGGUUCAGUGUGGAAAAACUCAC